rnacentral:rRNA from 1 species
CCUACGGGGGGCAGCAGUGAGGAAUCUUGCGCAAUGGGCGAAAGCCUGACGCAGCGACGCCGCGUGGAGGAAGACGGCCUUCGGGUUGUAAACUCCUGUCAGAGGUGAAGAAUCCCCGCAAGGGGUUGACGGUAACCUCAAAGGAAGCCCCGGCUAACUACGUGCCAGCAGCCGCGGUAAUACGUAGGGGGCAAACGUUACUCGGAAUUACUGGGCGUAAAGGGUGUGUAGGUGGUUGAGUAAGUCAUGGAUGAAAUUCCGGAGCUCAACUUCGGAAUUG